CAUCGCUUCAGGGCGGGGCGAAAUUCCCCACCGGUGGUAAGUUAAACCAAUCAUCAUUAUUGGAUUUAAUCAGCCCACGAGCCUAUAAACCAUUCAUGGUUUAUGCGCAGAUUUGGUGAAAAACCAAAGCCGACGGUAUAGUCCGGAUGAAAGAAGACGACG
rnacentral:ncRNA from 2 species